GUCCACGCCGUAAACGAUGUCAACUAGCUGUCUGUGUUCUUGAAACGUGGGUAGCGUAGCUAACGCGCUAAGUUGACCGCCUGGGGAGUACGGCCGCAAGGUUAAAACUCAAAUGAAUUGACGGGGGCCCGCACAAGCGGUGGAGCAUGUGGUUUAAUUCGAUGCAACGCGAAGAACCUUACCAUCCCUUGACAUCCAGAGAAUUUACUAGAGAUAGUUUAGUGCCUUCGGGAACUCUGAGACAGGUGCUGCAUGGCU
rnacentral:rRNA from 1 species